AGAUUGAACGCUGGCGGCAUGCCUUACACAUGCAAGUCGAACGGCAGCACGGGAGCAAUCCUGGUGGCGAGUGGCGAACGGGUGAGUAAUAUAUCGGAACGUGCCCAGUCGUGGGGGAUAACGUAGAGAAAUUUACGCUAAUACCGCAUACGAUCCAAGGAUGAAAGCGGGGGACCGUAAGGCCUCGCGCGACUGGAGCGGCUGAUAUCAGAUUAGCUUGUUGGUGAAGGUAAAAGCUCACCAAGGCGACGAUCUGUAGCUGGUUUGAGAGAACGACCAGCCA
rnacentral:rRNA from 1 species